GUUUGCCUUAAUGGUUGCACCAGCCCUGCCACCACCACAGUGAACUGCCGCUGUUUUCUUGGGGAGAAGUUUCUUCUUGGCUCUGGUUAGCUGGGAACCUUUCCUGUCUGGCAAAGAUGUCACACGUGAUGCUUUGGAUACCUUUGGAGCCUUUGUCUUCUCGUCUGCUGGACCCAGUUUAGUCUUGGAUCCUUUGGCCUGCCUCUUCUUGCCAGAAACAGUUGGCUUCACUGCUGACAGCUUGGUGGAGCUUUUUGGGAAAGCUGGCUUCUUGGCUUUUUUGGAAGAAGUUGUUGGGGUGGCUCCUGUGGAGAUGGAAGAUGUGUUGGGAGGCUUGGUUGUUGGGGGUUCAUUAAGCAAUUCAAGGACAGUCUCUGUGAAAAAUAAUUAAAAUGCUUCAGCAUUCCUGGUUUAAGGCAAAAGACUAACUCAGACAUAUCCCUGAAAAAGAGCUUUAACAGACUGACAAGCAGGCAGGCAGACAAGAAACAUAUUUGCCUUUCAAAAGAGAUUAAAAACUGUGAUGCUUGAACACAGCCUCACUUUUCUCAUUUUGAAUCCGCUUCUCCCAUUAAAUAUGAACCCUGGCUGCUUCUUGUAGGGUUGCUAAGAAUAAGUUUGUUUUCUCUUAGAAUAAAAAAUGAUGAUGGAACAUUUGUUUAGAAAAAGGCCAAAAUGCAUAAAGUGUAAGAUGGAAUUUGCAAGCAGAUUUUAAAGAAAGAGUAGAUAAAGUUUCUCUUUGGCAGCUCCAGUUUGUUGACGUUAUUAUCAUUAGUAUUAAUUAUUUAUAUUACAGUAGCAUCUACAAGCCCCAGUGGGGCGUCAUGGUGCUGGGUACUGUUCAACCUAGAUAAUGGGAGGCAAUCCCUGAGUCAUAGACAUCACAAUCUAAAUAUGCACGACAGGGGAACUGGAGUAUUAUUAUCCCAGUUUUACAGAUGGGGAAACUGAAGUGCAGAGAGAUUAAGGUUUAGAGUCACAAAGAGAGUUAGGUGUUGUGAAUGCAUAAGUUUUAGCCCAGUGAGUGCAUAUGUUUUAGCCCAGUGGUUAGGGUAAUUGUCUGGGCUGUGGGAGACCCCCAGUUCAAGUCCCCCACUCCACAUGAGGUGGAAAAGGAGUUCCGCAGUGGAAAAGCUUCAACAGGAGAGACUGAGGGAGUGGUUAGGCCACUCACAUGAGAAGUGAACCAGGCGUCUCACACAUUAAAGGUCAGUGCACUAACCAGUGGGCUAAAAAUUAUGAGGGAAGUGGACCUCCUCCUCUCCCCGUCCCUGGGUGUUUUGUGUGGAAUUAGGUGGCCCAUGAGCAUGUCUACCAGAUUAGGAACCUGAAGCAAUUUAGGGUUAGGAGCGCCUGUCUUCUCCAGCUCAUGAAUCACUCGGGGGCCUAGGUGGGACAUAGACAUUUGAAUGCCUAGAGGGAGUCAGCAGUGUGCAUGCUCAGAGACAGAAACUGAGGCGCUCAGGAAACUUUUACAACAAAAACCUAGCCACCGAGUGAGUUUAGGCACCUACUGGGUUUGGCAGCAGCCAAGCAGGAGUCUUGUGAAUCACAGUGGUGCCAAAAAACUGGACGUAGGUACCUAAGUCCCCUGGGGGGUAAGCGCCUAAAUAGCUUUGUGAAUGUAGUCCACAGUGACUUUGGCUACAUGGGGAGUCUGUGACAGAGCCCAAAAUUGCACUCAGGUCCCCAGAUAGACCCAGUCUAGUGCCUUAACCACAACACCAUCUGUCCUCACAUGUUUUCUACUCACUCUGUUGCUGUUGUGAAGACAAAACACUAACUUUCGCCACUUCCAAAGUCCUCUGAGGAGACUAAGUAGAAGCAGGAUAUAGGCAAGUCGCAUCUUAGGCGCGUUUAACAUGCACGAAUUCAGCUUUGCGCGGUCGGCAAAAACAGGGAAAUAAAAAUAACAAUAUAAAAACUGCAUCUAUAGUGCGGGCGAUUCCGCCUGCCAUUCAACUCCAUGAGUGUUUCAUUAUACGCGGUUUUCGCUUUACGCGCUAACCGCGGAACGGAACCCCCGCGUAAGAUGAGACUUGCCUGUAUUUAAUAUGUAACAGAAACAUGAGUUAACAUACUUAUUGUACGACAUUAACAGUUGUUGCAUAGUACUUUGGCUUUAACGAAUGCUUAAAUGUCAACCUUUGAGAUUGUAUACAGUUGUGCCACACAAUAAAAUGAAAACCUAAGUACUUACUUGCUAGAGGAGCAAAUGGGAUACGCUUACUCUUUGUUUUCACUGGAAUAGGCUUGUGUUUACAUUUCCCAGGUGGAGCUCUCCUGGAAACCAGAUUUAAAAGAUAACAAGGCACGUGACUAUCUAGGAAAUGAUCAGGAAGUUUACUUUUUCAGACAGACAGAGAUCACACAUCAAUCCACCCUGUUAGGUCAUGUGCCCUCAGGAGAAACCAGACCAUUUGCAAUCAGAGAGGGUCAAAAAUUAGGAAUGCUUUCACAAAAAAGUGUGCCUUUUCUCACUGAAA